rnacentral:rRNA from 1 species
UACGUAGGGUGCAAGCGUUGUCCGGAAUUAUUGGGCGUAAAGAGCUCGUAGGCGGUCUGUUGCGUCGGCUGUGAAAACCCGGGGCUCAACCCCGGGCCUGCAGCCGAUACGGGCAGACUAGAGUUCGGCAGGGGAGACUGGAAUUCCUGGUGUAGCGGUGAAAUGCGCAGAUAUCAGGAGGAACACCGGUGGCGAAGGCGGGUCUCUGGGCCGAUAUUGACGCUGAGGAGCGAAAGCGUGGGGAGCAAACAGG